rfam:Oryza sativa (indica cultivar-group) chromosome 1, whole genome shotgun sequence.
AAAAAGUCAAACCCUGGAUUUUCGUGUCCAACUUUGACUAUCCGUCUUAUAUGAAAUUUUUUUAUAAUUUAUAUUUUUGUUGUUGUUAGAUGAUAAAACAUGAUUAAUAUUUUAUGCGUGACUUGUCUUUUUAAUUUUUUUCAUAAUUUUUUCAAAUAAGACGGACGGUCAAAUGUUGGACACGGAAACCAGUGUUUGUCUUUUUU